AGUUGAUCAUGGCUCAGGAUGAACGCUAGCUACAGGCUUAACACAUGCAAGUCGAGGGUAACAGGAGGAAAGCUGCUUUCUGCUGACGACCGGCGCACGGGUGAGUAACGCGUAUCCAACCUUCCCCUAGUAGAGGAUAGCCCGGCGAAAGUCGGAUUAAUUCCCUAUGCUGUCCAGAGAGGACAUCUGACCUGGACGAAAGAUUCAUCGCUAUGGGAUGGGGAUGCGUCUGAUUAGGUGCAGGCGGGGUAACGGCCCACCUGGCCGACGAUCAGUAGGGGUUCUGAGAGGAAGGUCCCCCACAUUGGAACUGAGACACGGUCCAAACUCCUACGGGAGGCAGCAGUGAGGAAUAUUGGUCAAUGGACGGAAGUCUGAACCAGCCAAGUAGCGUGCAAGGAAGACCGGCCCUAUGGGUUGUAAACUGUCUUUUAUCGAGGGGAUAAAGUGAGGUAUGUAUACCUUUUUGCAUGUACCUGAUGAAUAAGGACCGGCUAAUUCCGUGCCAGCCGCUGC
rnacentral:rRNA from 1 species